UGGGGAAUAUUGGACAAUGGGGGAAACCCUGAUCCAGCGACGCCGCGUGUGUGAAGAAGGCCUGCGGGUUGUAAAGCACUUUUAGUGGGGACAAAAAGUCAUGGGCUAAUACCGCGUGAUCUUGAUUUAACCUACAGAAAAAGCACCGGCUAACUCUGUGCCAGCAGCCGCGGUAAUACAGAGGGUGCGAGCGUUAAUCGGAAUUACUGGGCGUAAAGCGCGCGUAGACGGUUUUGUAAGUCAGAUGUGAAAUCCCCGGGCUCAACCUGGGAACUGCAUUUGAGACUGCAUGGCUAGAGUAUGGAAGAGGGAAGUGGAAUUUCCGGUGUAGCGGUGAAAUGCGUAGAUAUCGGAAGGAACACCAGUGGCGAAAGCGACUUCCUGGUCCAAUACUGACGUUCAUGUGCGAAAGCGUGGGGAGCAAACAG
rnacentral:rRNA from 1 species